rnacentral:rRNA from 1 species
AUUGAACGCUGGCGGCAGGCUUAACACAUGCAAGUCGAGCGGAGGGAGGUAGCUUGCUACUGAUCUUAGCGGCGGACGGGUGAGUAAUGCUUAGGAAUCUGCCUAUUAGUGGGGGACAACAUUUCGAAAGGAAUGCUAAUACCGCAUACGUCCUACGGGAGAAAGCAGGGGAUCUUCGGACCUUGCGCUAAUAGAUGAGCCUAAGUCGGAUUAGCUAGUUGGUGGGGUAAAGGCCUACCAAGGCGACGAUCUGUAGCGGGUCUGAGAGGAUGAUCCGCCACACUGGGACUGAGACACGGCCCAGACUCCUACGGGAGGCAGCAGUGGGGAAUUUUGGACAAUGGGGGCAACCCUGAUCCAGCCAUGCCGCGUGCGGGAGGAAGGCCUUCGGGUUGUAAACCGCUUUUGUCUGGGAAGAAAAGGCCUCGGCUAAUACCUGAGGUUCUUGACGGUACUGGAAGAAUAAGCACCGGCUAACUACGUGCCAGCCGCCGCAGUAAUAC